GGGGUUGUACUGGUUUCGACGGGGAUUUAGAAAUCAUGGAAGCCAUUGAUGGACCAGGACCAUCUAAAAACUUGGAACUAAAUAUAAACGCAGACGAAAAGUUAGCGUACGCUGCCUAAUGGCAGCUGUCUUUUCUUAAGUUUACUCGCGGCUUAGGUUAGGGCAUCAAACUAGCGGGGAACUUCAGUAUGAAAGCUUUGACAUGCUGAAAGAUUUAUGAAGCUACUAAGGCAUACAGCCUGUCGUUUGGCGGUAUGCUGAGGGAAUGUCUGUAAAGCGACUGUAAUGGGAGAUGCCAUGAUGGAAGAGUUUUCGGACGCGGGUUCAAUUCCCGCCAGCUCCACU
rnacentral:tmRNA from 1 species